UCGCGCGAGAAGGCACCUUCGGGUGCCGAGUAAAGCGGCGGACGGGUGAGUAACACGUGAGUGAUGUGCCGUCGGGCGGGGGAUAGCCCACCGAAAGGUGGACUAAUACCGCAUGAGACCACAGGCCCUGCGGGGCCAGGGGUCAAAGACUUCGGUCGCCCGACGAUCAGCUCGCGGCCCAUUAGGUAGCCGGUAGGGUAAAAGCCUACCGGGCCGAAGAUGGGUAGCUAGUCUGAGAGGACGAUUAGCCACACUGGGACUGAGACACGGCCCAGACUCCUACGGGAGGCAGCAGUGGGGAAUCUUGCGCAAUGGAGGCAACUCUGACGCAGCGACGCCGCGUGUGUGACGAAGGCCUUCGGGUCGUAAAGCACUGUCAGGCGGGAAGAAAGCCCGACUUUGAGUCAGGUUGACGGUACCGCCGAAGGAAGCACCGGCCAACUCCGUGCCAGCAGCCGCGGUAAGACGGAGGGUGCAAGCGUUGUUCGGAAUCAUUGGGCGUAAAGCGCGCGCAGGCGGCCGAGCAUGUCCGGUGUGAAACCCCGGGGCUUAACUCCGGAGGCGCAUCGGAAACUGUUCGGCUUGAGUCCCGGAGGGGCCUGUGGAAUUCCUGGUGUAGGGGUGAAAUCCGUAGAGAUCACGAGGAACACCGGCGGCGAAAGCGACAAGGCU
rnacentral:rRNA from 1 species